rfam:Hepatitis C virus subtype 2a isolate G2aK3, complete genome.
GUCCCUCAUCUCCCAUGGAGGGAGGGCGGCCGUUUGCGGCCGGUAUCUCUUCAACUGGGCGGUGAAGACC